GCUGCCAGACUAGGCUUUGACCUGUAUUGUACAUUAAAGGGAGAAAAUAUUAGUGCACAUGACAAGGACAAGAAAAGGAGGAAAAUGAAAAUAAAAUUCAAUGUAAGAAAUUAUCGUGGAACUUAGAUAAUAAUCAGUAAUGAAAAUAAAAUUCAAUGUACGAAAAUAUCGCAGAACUUAGAUGAUAAUCGUCCAUUCUUCGGACAAUGAGGUGCUUAUACAUUCCUUCCUCGUCUGAAAUUAGGAGUUUGACAAGUAAAAUUCAUGACAAGAUCCAACUCAUUUUUUAUUAGAGCAUAUGAAAUGUAUAAUUAUGUCAUCUAAUAAUUUCAUUUGUUAUAGAUCCGAGUGAUUAAAAUAGAAACAAUGACUGUAAACAUAUGUUCCAUAAAGCAAUAUUGAAGGCACUGGUUCAAUUAAAGAUACGAGUGAUAACAAAAUCUGGCCAUCUAUAGCAUUUUCCAAAUGCAAUCAUAUUGAAUCAACAAGAAAAAUAAAUCCUUGAUAUAAAAGCAGGUUCUCUACCUAGAGAUUUAAUCAAAACAAGGUCAACAACAAAUGUUGAGAAAGCAUAUUGAACAUCAUUGCAUCAUUCACAUAAAGAUCAACCUAAACAUCCAGGUUACUGCUCCAAUUUCAGCACCCCUACCUUCAUAAAUCCUUCUCAAUCCAAAGAACUCUAAUUAAAAACGAAGAGUAGAACAAGUUAAACGGUAGCUAAUCCCUUCUUCUGGCCUGGCAAUUGAAUCAUAACACCUCUAGCUUCUAGCACUUGACAAUAGCAACAACUAACAAUCAAGCCAAAGCAAAAU
rnacentral:misc_RNA from 1 species